CCUACGUGAGGCAGCAGUGAGGAAUAUUGGUCAAUGGACGAGCGUCUGAACCAGCCAAGUAGCGUGAAGGAUGACUGCCCUAUGGGUUGUAAACUUCUUUUAUAUGGGAAUAAAACGUUCCACGUGUGGGAUUUUGUAUGUACCAUAUGAAUAAGGAUCGGCUAACUCCGUGCCAGCAGCCGCGGUAAUACGGAGGAUCCGAGCGUUAUCCGGAUUUAUUGGGUUUAAAGGGAGCGUAGGUGGAUUGUUAAGUCAGUUGUGAAAGUUUGCGGCUAUUCCGUAAAAUUGCAAUUGAUACUGGCAGCCUUGAGUACAGUUGAGGUAGGCGGAAUUCGUGGUGUAGCGGUGAAAUGCUUAGAUAUCACGAAGAACUCCGAUUGCGAAGGCAGCCUACUAAACUGCCACUGACAUUGAUGCUCGAAAGUGUGGGUAUCAAACAGGAUUAGAUACCCUAGUAGUC
rnacentral:rRNA from 1 species